rnacentral:rRNA from 1 species
AUUGAACGCUGGCGGCAGGCCUAACACAUGCAAGUCGAGCGGGGUUUUCGGACCUAGCGGCGGACGGGUGAGUAAUGCGUAGGAAGCUACCCGAUAGAGGGGGAUACCAGUUGGAAACGACUGUUAAUACCGCAUAACGUCUACGGACCAAAGUGUGGGACCUUCGGGCCACAUGCUAUCGGAUGCGCCUACGUGGGAUUAGCUCGGUGGUGGAGUAAUGGCGCACCCAGGCGACGAUCCCUAGCGGUUUUGAGAGGAUGAUCAGCCACACAGGAACUGAGACACGGUCCAGACUCCUACGGGAGGCAGCAGUGGGGAAUAUUGGACAAUGGGCGCAAGCCUGAUCCAGCCAUGCCGCGUGUGUGAAGAAGGCCUUCGGGUUGUAAAGCACUUUCAGUAGGGAGGAAGAGUUGAGUGUUAAUAGUACUCAGCUUUGACGUUACCUACAGAAGAAGCACCGGCUAACUCUGUGCCAGCCGCCGCAGUAAUAC